GACGAACGCUGGCGGCGUGCCUAAUACAUGCAAGUCGAACGCAGUGGGGACGGGUGAGUAACACGUGGGUAACCUCCCAUCAGAGGGGAUAACACUUGGAAACAGGUGCUAAACCGAUACUGAUGGAUGAACCCGCGGGGCAUUAGCUAGUUGGUGAGGUAACGGCUCACCAAGGCUACGAUGCAUAGCCGGUCUGAGAGGAGGAUCGGCCACACUGGGACUGAGACACGGCCCAGACUCCUACGGGAGGCAGCAGUAGGGAAUUUUCGGCAAGGGACGAAAGUCUGACCGAGCAACGCCGCGUGAAUGAAGAAGGUUUUCGGGUCGUAAAAUUCUGUUGUUAGAGAAGCGGUAUCUAAACAAAAAGCAACGGCUAACUACGUGCCAGCAGCCGCGGUAAUAC
rnacentral:rRNA from 1 species